GAAAAAUUUAGUUANGUUAUACCAUUAGUUNGUCAUACUAAAA
rnacentral:tRNA from 1 species